GACGAACGCUGGCGGCGUGCCUAAUACAUGCAAGUAGAACGCUGAAGGAGGAGCUUGCUUCUCUGGAUGAGUUGCGAACGGGUGAGUAACGCGUAGGUAACCUGCCUGGUAGCGGGGGAUAACUAUUGGAAACGAUAGCUAAUACCGCAUAAGAGUAGAUGUCGCAUGACAUUUGCUUAAAAGGUGCAAUUGCAUCACUACCAGAUGGACCUGCGUUGUAUUAGCUAGUUGGUGAGGUAACGGCUCACCAAGGCAACGAUACAUAGCCGACCUGAGAGGGUGAUCGGCCACACUGGGACUGAGACACGGCCCAGACUCCUACGGGAGGCAGCAGUAGGGAAUCUUCGGCAAUGGACGGAAGUCUGACCGAGCAACGCCGCGGGAGUGAAGAAGGUUUUCGGAUCGUAAAGCUCUGUUGUAAGAGAAGAACGAGUGUGAGAGUGGAAAGUUCACACUGUGACGGUAUCUUACCAGAAAGGGACGGCUAACUACGUG
rnacentral:rRNA from 1 species